GGCUGUAGCUCAAUGGUAGAGCACUUGCCUAGCAUACAUGAGGCCCUGGGUUCCACCCCCAGCAUCG
rnacentral:tRNA from 1 species